rnacentral:rRNA from 1 species
UCUGGUGUCAAUUGCGUUGUGGCUCCACCCGUUCCCAUUCCGAACACGGUCGUGAAACGCUUCUGCGGCGACAAUACUGGGGGCACAAGCCUCUGGGAAGAUAGCACGGCGCCAGAU